rnacentral:rRNA from 1 species
UACGGAGGAUGCGAGCGUUAUCCGGAUUUAUUGGGUUUAAAGGGUGCGUAGGCGGGCAUUUAAGCCGGCGGUCAAAUGUCGGGGCUCAACCCCGUCGUGCCGUUGAAACUGAUGUUCUUGAGUGGGCGAGAAGUAUGCGGAAUGCGUGGUGUAGCGGUGAAAUGCAUAGAUAUCACGCAGAACUCCGAUUGCGAAGGCAGCAUACCGGCGCCCAACUGACGCUGAAGCACGAAAGCGUGGGUAUCGAACAGG